rnacentral:lncRNA from 1 species
UAAAGGCGGAGUUUUCGCGGAGCUGCAGUUGAAUUCCGUAUCGCACCGGUUUGUUCGACCCCUUCACCGGGGUCGAAAAAAGGUCGAGGUGAAUCCAUCUUCCACUCAACUGUACUAAAUACAGGAUGCGCAAUCCAACAUUGUUCAAAAUGAAUUUACUUCAGAACGGCGGAAUCUUGGACAGCCGAACUUGCGGUUGCGUCUCGGAGAUGGCAAAAUUGAUCCCCUUAUGUGACCUGUACGGCCUUGAAUUGCGACCUUCGAGCUAUGGAAUCGUUAUCUGUCUGCAACCGUUCUCCCAGACGAUUCAUGAGGUAGACCACUUAGUCACCACAGGCUACGCGUUUCAAGGUUUCAUCCCCCCCCCCUGAGCACCGUGCAGAACAAAGGAAACGCCCACAGCCAUACUCAUGUGCUCUUUAGGCGAACUCUGGGGGGAUUUGGGUACCAACAGCGCGUGCAACAUGCAAAAAAGCUUUCAAGGUGACGAAGUCGUGGCGGAAAAGGAACAGUACGAGCAAUGGGCAUAUGCCAG